ACGAGUUAGGGUCCUCAAGGCCCGACCUCCCAACCCAUUGUUUACUACACCGUUUGUUGCUUCGGCGAGCCCGUCUUCACGGACCGCCGGGGGACCGCGUCAGGUCCCCUGGUCCGCGCUCGUCGGUAGCCCCAACCUUUAAAACUCAUCAUUAAACGUGUCUUGACUAAGUAUUUGUAACCAAAUUAAAAGCA
rnacentral:misc_RNA from 1 species